rnacentral:rRNA from 16 species
AUCUCAGAUUAAGUAAGACUACCCGCUGAAUUUAAGCAUAUAAUUAAGCGGAGGAAAAGAAACUAACAAGGAUCCCCCUAGUAAGGGCGACUGAAGCGGGGAUAGCUCACCGUGUGAAUCUGUGCAACUUGCGGCGUCUAGCACGCACAAGUGCACCGAAUUGUGGUCUGAAGAGGUAGCAUCGGCCGUUGUCCCGGGCCAAGUCCCUUGGAAAAGGGCAGCUGAGAGGGUGAGACUCCCGUUCUUGCCUGGGAUGGACGUGCCUUAGCAUGCGCCUUCUACGAGUCGAGUUGCUUGGGAUUGCAGCUCAAAGUGGGUGGUAAAUUCCAUCUAAAGCUAAAUAUUGGUGGGAGACCGAUAGCGUACAAGUACCGUGAGGGAAAGAUGCAAAGAACUUUGAAAAGAGAGUUAAAGAGUACCUGAAAUUGCUGAAAGGGAAGCGAAGGAAACCAGUGUCGUGCCUGGCCAUAUUUCUCCUGCUGCUUGCGGUAGGGGCGCUGUGGCCUGGCGUGGGCCAGCAUCGGUUUGCACCUCGGGGCAAACGGUGGUUCGGGAGGUAGUUGCCGCUUCGGCGUCAAUGUUUAACCGUUCCAUCUCGUCCUGGGGGAGACCGAGGACAGUCUAGCAAUAGCUCGUGAUGCUGGCGAAAUGGUUUUCUUUACCCCGUCUUGAAACACGGACCAAGGAGUUUAACACAUGUGCGAGU